GUAGUACUCCCUCCGUCCGGAAAUACUUGUCAUCAAAAUGGAUGAAAAUGAAUGUAUCUAGAACUAAAAUACAUCUAGAUACAUCCAUUUCAAUGACAAGUAUUUUCGGACGGAGGGAGUAAUUU
rnacentral:pre_miRNA from 1 species